rnacentral:tRNA from 1 species
UCCCCUGUAGCUCAGCGGUAGAGCAAUCGCCUGUUAAGCGAUUGGUCGUAGGUUCGAUCCCUACCGGGGGAGCCA